rnacentral:rRNA from 1 species
AUGACCGCUAGCGGGAUGCUUUACACAUGCAAGUCGGACGGCAGCGCGAGGUAAGCUUGCUUACCUUGGCGGCGAGUGGCGAACGGGUGAGUAAUGUAUCGGAACGUGCCCAGUAGCGGGGGAUAACCACUCGAAAGAGUGGCUAAUACCGCAUACGCCCUACGGGGGAAAGCGGGGGACCUUUCGGGGCCUCGCACUAUUGGAGCGGCCGAUAUCGGAUUAGCUAGUUGGUGGGGUAAAGGCCUACCAAGGCGUCGAUCCGUAGCUGGUUUGAGAGGACGACCAGCCACACUGGGACUGAGACACGGCCCAGACUCCUACGGGAGGCAGCAGUGGGGAAUUUUGGACAAUGGGGGCAACCCUGAUCCAGCCAUCCCGCGUGUGCGAUGAAGGCCUUCGGGUUGUAAAGCACUUUUGGCAGGGAAGAAAAGGCUCUGGCUAAUACCUGGAGCUGCUGACGGUACCUGCAGAAUAAGCACCGGCUAACUACGUGCCAGCAGCCGCGGUAAUACGUAGGGUGCAAGCGUUAAUCGGAAUUACUGGGCGUAAAGCGUGCGCAGGCGGUUCGGCAAGAAGGAUGUGAAAUCCCCAGGGCUUAACCUUGGAACUGCAUUUCUUAACUGCCCGGGCUAGAGUAUGUCAGAGGGGGGUAGAAUUUCCGCGUGUAGCAAUGAAAUGCGUAAGAAAUGCCGAAGGAAUCCCCAUGGCAAAGGCNCCCCCCUGGGGAUAAUAAUGGACCCCU